GAUGAACGCUAGCUACAGGCUUAACACAUGCAAGUCGAGAGGUAACGAGAGGAAAGCUUGCUUUCCUUGUCGACGACCGGCGCACGGGUGAGUAACGCGUAUCCAACCUGCCCCCAACUAAGGAAUAACCUUGCGAAAGUAAGACUAAUACCUUAUAAUUUCCUCAGAUGUCAUCUGACGAGGAAUAAAGAUUUAUCGGUUGUGGAUGGGGAUGCGUCUGAUUAGCUUGUUGGCGGGGUAACGGCCCACCAAGGCAACGAUCAGUAGGGGUUCUGAGAGGAAGGGCCCCCACAUUGGAACUGAGACACGGUCCAAACUCCUACGGGAGGCAGCAGUGAGGAAUAUUGGUCAAUGGGCGGAAGCCUGAACCAGCCAAGUAGCGUUCAGGAUGACGGCCCUAUGGGUUGUAAACUGCUUUUAUACAGGAAUAAAGUUAGCCACGUGUGGUUAUUUGUAGGUACUGUAUGAAUAAGGACCGGCUAAUUCCGUGCCAGCCGCCGCCGUAA
rnacentral:rRNA from 1 species